CAGGAUCUCUUUUUUUACAUCGAGAGACACAUUUUCAAUAGAGAAGAGGGUGCACCACGUCUGCUGAAAGCCCCUGGAAGUAAGAUUACAUUGCUAUCUCUGAAAAAAGCUGCCCUGUCCUCACUCCUCUCACAGUGCUUUGGUGACAAUUUGUGAGUAGCACCUCAAGUCUGAUUUUGGCAAGUGAAAUCAGCUUUGCAGCCCGCAUUACUGUGUCUCACCUGGCUGGGCCUUGCUGUAAUUCACAGCAGGAUAAAGCCUGCUCACACUGCUCCCAAGUAAAAGUAUUCUGGUCUCACUCUCUGACAUGGGCUAGCGUUCACUCUAAUCGUCUCCUGCUGGGGGCCAUGGAAAAUAAAGUAAGAUACUGCCUUUAAGUGGUGAGAGGUUGAGGUCUCUCUUUUGGAGGAAGUAUUCACUCAAGUGCUACAAACACCACGAAAACUGGACUAGGGCCAAAGCCAGGGAGCUGCAUCCCAUCCACUGCAAGGGAAACCAGCAAUCCGGGAGUGUGUUAUAGGAGAGAGCAAAGCAAACUGACCUCUGCGAUAAGCACGGAGGUGGUGGGAGCAGCGGAGCCAGGAGGCAGUUAUCACAGCUCUCUGUGAUGAAGUGGAUGCAAGAGCUAACGUAGCCCAGCGGUGAAUUUCAGCGGCAAAAAUGGAUCACAAAUAUAUCAGAAGGAAAAGAAAUGGAUAUUGCCUGCAGAGAGAGGCUCGGCGCUUUAUUGGGCUUCCAGGAGAAGUCGGCUCCAGCACACACAGGAAUUUUUGAGAAGAUGGUUUUCCAGCUACGUUAGAUUCUCUGCAAACAGACAGUGCUCCCUCACACUGCCAGUCUGGUUGGUGUCUUGCUGCCUUGCCUUCCUGAGGAGCCUCCUGAUAAGGCCCAUGCUGGGCUUUUCACCUCUACAGGAAGACCCCAAGGAGAGAAGCAAGAAAAGAGGCUGGUGUCAUAGCAUCAGUGACCUUGCUAACCACGUCUGCUGCCAUCUUGGAUCUCACAGCGUGUGA
rnacentral:lncRNA from 1 species